rnacentral:rRNA from 1 species
AUUGAACGCUGGCGGCAGGCUUAACACAUGCAAGUCGAGCGAGCGGCGGACGGGUGAGUAAUGUCUGGGACACUGCCUGAUGGAGGGGGAUAACUACUGGAAACGGUAGCUAAUACCGCAUACCAUCAGAUUUUCCCAGGUGGGAUUAGCUAGUAGGUGGGGUAAGGGCUCACCUAGGCGACGAUCCCUAGCUGGUCUGAGAGGAUGACCAGCCACACUGGAACGGAGACACGGUCCAGACGCCGACGGGAGGCAGCAGUGGGGAAGAUGGCACAAUGGGCGAAAGCCUGAUGCAGCAAGGCCGCGUGUGUGAAGAAGGCCUUCGGGUUGUAAAGCACUUUCAUCGAGGAGGCGUUACUCGCAGAAGAAGCACCGGCUAACUCCGUGCCAGCAGCCGCGGUAAUUC